rnacentral:rRNA from 1 species
UACGUAGGGUGCAAGCGUUGUUCGGAAUCAUUGGGCAUAAAGCGCGUGUAGGCGGUCUGCUAAGUCUGGUGUGAAAGCCCGGGGCUUAACUCCGGAAGUGCACUGGAUACUGGCAGACUAGAGGAUGAGAGAGGAGGGUGGAAUUCCUGGUGUAGGGGUGAAAUCCGUAGAUAUCAGGAGGAACAUCGGUGGCGAAGGCGACUCUCUGGCUCAUUUCUGACGCUCAGACGCAAAAGCGUGGGGAGCAAACAGG